rnacentral:rRNA from 1 species
UACGGGGGGGGCAAGCGUUGUUCGGAAUUACUGGGCGUAAAGGGCGCGUAGGCGGCCUUCUAAGUCGGACGUGAAAUCCCUCGGCUUAACCGGGGAACUGCGUCUGAUACUGGAUGGCUUGAAUUCGGGAGAGGGAUGCAGAAUUCCAGGUGUAGCGGUGAAAUGCGUAGAUAUCUGGAGGAAUACCGGUGGCGAAGGCGGCAUCCUGGACCGACAUUGACGCUGAUGAGCGAAAGCUAGGGGAGCAAACGGG